CGGAGGAUCCGAGCGUUAUCCGGAUUUAUUGGGUUUAAAGGGAGCGUAGGCGGACGCUUAAGUCAGUUGUGAAAGUUUGCGGCUCAACCGUAAAUUGCAGUUGAUACUGGGUGUCUUGAGUACAGUAGAGGCAGGCGGAAUUCGUGGUGUAGCGGUGAAAUGCUUAGAUAUCACGAAGAACUCCGAUUGCGAAGGCAGCCUGCUGGACUGUAACUGACGCUGAUGCUCGAAAGUGUGGGUAUCAAACAGGAUU
rnacentral:rRNA from 1 species